AAGCAGUCCUACUUUGUUUUUCUAACCUCUGAAAAAAAAUUGGGGGUUCUUGGCUACUUUCACAAAUAUGGACAAGUCGAUUCUCAUUUUGAAGGUUGUUCUGUGACUUUGGUUGAUAGAUAGUGUAAGAGAAAAUAAAGGAAAUGUCUUUUGGAGUUCGUCACAGAAAGAAGAGUCAUAGUAGAGCACCACGAUUGCUAAAAGCUUAAAACCAAAGUUAGAGUUUAAAUGAAGUAUGGCCACUGAAUGAACUGCGGUUUUGUGGAGUUGUGUGGGGAGUUUUAGGGGGUGUUUGGUUCAAUUUUUCCAUCGGAUUACAUUCUAUGGAAUCAUAUUUCUCAUUAAAAAAAAAACUGUUUGGUUCACAUUAACGAAAAAGUGAUCCGGACUCAUGGUGUUCAUUGGAAUCACCAUUUACACUAAAGUUGGGGAUUCAAUCGGUUAACCUGAAUAGGUAAAUCCAGAAUCGAGUCACCUAAUUCCAGGGUUCAUAUAAAAACCCCAGAAUCAGGGUGACUCCACUUAUCGGAUUUUCAUAUCUGACCUUUCCCAUCCUUCGACCAGAGACGAACGCAGCCAAGGUGAGAUUUCUGAAAAAUGAACGCAGAUGAGGUGAGAUUUCUGAAAAAAAAACGCAGGCAAGGUGAGAUUUCCCCUCCCCCUUCUUCUGUGUUUUCUUCAGAUUUUGGAGUUGUCGGUUGUUAUCUUUCCGGUUCUUAACUUCAUAUCUAGGUUUUCAACUUAUGUUUCUUCCUCAUUGUGCAAGAUUCAUUUGUUGGCUUCAUCGAUCGACUGAAGAAGGGGGUGUUUUCCAGAUUGUUUGAGUUACUUCAUUUAGUGCUCAGAAUUGCUUCACAUGCAGUGGAUGCAGCAAGGAAGGUAGAUAGGAAGAUAGUUUUUGGAUUCUGGAUGUCCUCUCUGUGGCAAUCCAAAAGAGGAUAUUUUUCGCCCCCUCUUCGAAUCUAGUCAUGCUUGUGGAGCUUGAUUUGGGUCUCCUUUCAUAAAAAAAAAAACUCAGGACCUGUUAUCUAAUUUUAUUCAAUGAUUGUAGAAGUUAUUCUCUCUCAAGAGAUCGCAAAUCUGGGAAUAUAGCAGCCUCAGCUUAUUGGCCCUCCCUCAUCUUGAAUAUUUGGAAUCCUGAUCCUGUUGGGCUUCUGUUUCCAUCAACUUAGGAUAAGGUUUUCUGGAAUGCAAAUCAUGAAGGUUGGAGGUGCUCCUUGAAUUAGGAAUCUGAUCCAAACAUCACAGGUCAGGUUUAUGAGUUGUUAUAUUGGGAGUUUCAACUUAAGAAGGAUCAAUUAUUUCUGAUUUACAGUAAUCAUGCCCUGCUCUAGAUUGGUGCUUGGAUUCUAUUUUCUCAGAUGUUAAUUCUUGUUGUCUUCUCUGAUGUUUAUUCUCAUUGUUGUCUUGUUGAAAGGAAAAAUCAUAGAUUUGCUAUUCAUUUCUUCUUCAUUUUUCUCUCUAAACUAUAUCAUGUUCACUGUCUUGCUGCUUAGGUUUCCCCCUGCCAUUUUCUUUACAAAUCCUAAUUUCCAGUCUUUUCUAAAAGAAAACCUAAUGCUCUCCCAUGUUUUGUUUGUAGCUUUAAUUCAUAAUACAGCAGUCACACUUUUUAAUGCGAUAUGGUGUUGCUGUUACCUCACCCUGAGGCGCAUCUCAAGGCCUAUGCCUUUAAGCAAUUCUAAAAGCCCAGUUCCAGGGUUUAAAGUGAGACGAUAGCAAUCAGAUUUAGACAAGAAAUUCCCACGGAUACAUGUUGGGCCCCUGGUUCAUUGGUGCGAAUUAUGGUCGAUAUUUUUGGUGUUGUCCGCAUUCAACUGGGGUUGAAAACAAAGGUUGUGGAAUGUUCGAAUGGAUAUCAAAUUCAAGCCCAAGCUGUCAUCAUAGUUGUCACGGCGCUAAGGCAAACCAAGGCGGUGGAGGGUUGUCUAAGCGCUUAGGCGAGAAGGCGUCCGCCUUAAGGCGA